rnacentral:tRNA from 1 species
GCGGGGGUUGCCGAGCCAGGUAAAAGGCGGCGGACUCAAGAUCCGCUGGCGUAGGCCUGCGUGGGUUCGAAUCCCACCCCCCGCACCA